UCUUUGACACUAUUGGUAUGUUGGUAGAUAUUAUUUGUGGUGAACCUUAAAUCAUUAUUCCUCUUCAUUUCUUCCACCGACCAAAAUUGUAGCUCCGAAAUUCAAUCGACAAUAUCGUGACUACUUCUAUAUCUCUGAAAAUUCAAAUCUACUUAUUGAAUGGGGAUUUGGCUGAGUAGAGGAGCAAUUUUAGUUUCUGCACAUCGAAAGGUAUGUAUUGCUCAUUUUUUACAGAGCAUAAAUUGUUGACUUUCUCUAAAUCAUUGGUGUUUUGCUUUACUGACCACUAAAGCUAAAAUUCUUCACUCAUACUAUAUUAUUUUUACUUUAUUAAUCCAACCCCUUCAUUGGGUUUUUGUGAAUUUUUUAUUGUGCCCUUGAUUUGUUGUUUGUUGCUUUGUAGAUCAUAACCUGAUUUUAUUUAUAUAUUCUGUUGAUUUUUUUUUUUGCUCUAUUUGUGGAUAUUUAUUAAUUGGGUAAAACAUAUUUCGUGCAUUUUCCUUCAAAGCCUGAUUGAUCUAUACGCUUUGCAUGCGAGUUUGUUGUUUAUUUGUUUUUAUUAUGAUAAUUUGGGAUGUCUUCAAUGAGGAAUGAGUGGGCAAUGUGGUGAAAAUGAAUUUUGUGUAUUUGAGAGAUUCGGUGUGUUUUUGGGAAAGAGAACUUGCCAUCUGGGCCUCCGACUUGGUUGUAGCUAAGAAUUUUUCAUCUCAAAAAAUUUUGAUAUUUCACCAGCAACUGUUGAUAAUUAAUUGGAUUCUGAUGUUAUGAGGAAAAAAAUUGAUUUAACGCUAAGGGUUUUACUUAAAUUUUCGAUUCUUAAAUAAAGAGUUGGUUCGAAUUUAAUUCUGUGAGGCUUAUAUAUAUUUUAUUGAUGUAAAUAAUGAGGUUUAUUGUUUGUUGAAUAUAAAUAAUUAGUGAAUGUUUUUAAGUAGGUAAGGGACCAUUUUUUUCCCGAUGUUGGAUAGAGUAAUCUCAUACUUACGUUUAGCGCUGUUUUAAUCCAUAAACAUUGCGAAAUUGAGGGUUUAUAGUUCAUGGAUAGAAUCAUAUUUCUGCUAACAUUGGGCUUGAUGUUUACUAUUGAUGUUUGACGUAGCUUUCUUCAAUAAACAAAUGUGAUAACAUUGAAUUCCAUUUCACUUUCCCGUUAUACUCUAUUCUCAACAUGAGGGAACAAAAGAAAAUCUUAAUUGGUUUUGGUGGGUGUGAACAUGCCUAGAUGUAUGUUGUUGUCUUCUGUAUUUCUCUUCAUAGUUACUGGAAAAUCUAUGUUUUUACUCUUUCUUCGGGUAAUUGGAGAGUUAUUAUGGGAAGUAAGUUGUACUUGUGUUUAUAGCUUAUGGUUUGCACUUUUCUAAGGCAAAUUGGUCUUAAGCAAGUAAGUUGAGCAUCUACUUGUUGCGAAGCUUUUGUGUUUAUUGUAAUCUAGAUGUAUAAAAAACUUGAUUUGAGGCGUUUGUUAGUUCAAAUAUGUGCGAGAUGCUAUUACUUAUCCGAUAAUCUUAGGGCUUCAACUACUAAACUGUAGUAGAAAGCUGACAAUAGAAAUGAUAUAUAUGCUUGAAGUGGAAGGUUGAACUUUAAUGACAAUGUUCCGUGUGUGGCCUUGUAAGGGAUUUGAUUACAGUCGAAGAAAUGAAAUAAAUCAUAUGUUCAGUUUUAUGUACUUACUAUUUGCCUUAUCAAAUUUUUUGAACCUAUAUUUCAAUUCUUUCUAUGCUGUCUUUAGAGUUUAAAGCCUUCGUUUGAUGUCUUUGAAGAGAACUCACAUUUAGAUGGGCUCCACAACUUGUUCGAGUAGAGAAGAUGUGUGAAGACAUUUCAAUGAAAUCCCACAAUGCCCUUGUUUGAGCCCCAUUUUGGAGGAAAAAUGUAUUUUUGAAUAGUGUACUGAUGAAAAAUGUGUGGUUAAAAUAUAAGAAAAAGUUUUGAAUUUACGUAUGAUAUUAUUUUAUUGAAAAAUGUGUGAUUGAUAUGAUAUUAAAAUACUGUUGAAAAAUGUAUUUUUUUUUUCAAAGAAUGAGGCUCAAACAAGGGCAAAAUCAAAUAACUACACGUGCAACGCAUGUGCGUUCACUAGUAACUUCUAAAAUAAGAAUUAACAAAAAUGAGCAAUUAAUUGAUCAAUGACUUAAUAAGGUUCCAUCGUUAAUCCUAGCCACAAAUGGUUUAUCCUGUCAUGUUAUGAUCCAAAAAAUACAAGAUAAAUAUCAAAACACAUUAGAUUAAUAAUUUUAGAAUAAAUGUUACAACCCUUUAUCUUGAACUUUUUCAAUGAUCUUCAGAAUCAUCUAAAGCCUAAUAAAUUUCUUGUAAUUUUUACUCCUAAUAAUUAUGAUGUAAAACAGAGUGAAAUUCUCCCUAUGCGUUUUCUAUUACGUGGAAAGAAAUCUCCAUUUUCUUGACCUAUAUUUGUACUUCAUAUAGCCCUUAAUUUGACUUGAAUAUUGUGUACUUCAAUGAGCCGAGUUGAGUCGAGCUUUUUUUGGUCCAAGUUGCUCGGCCAGAAAAUUAAGGCUCGAUCCGAGCUUUCGGCUCUGGCUUUACCGAGCCGAGCUGGGCCGAGCUCAAUUUCUGGAUUUUUUUUUUUUUAAUAUAUACCUCGUUGCCUGUUUGGCAGCAGCAGAUUUGCUGCCGACUGGCAGCUUGAUAUGGCUGCCUGUUUGGCAGCUAUUUGAGAUUUUUCUUCUCUUUUUCCUUUUUUUAUUUUUUUAAAUAAUACGGGCCGGCCCGGCUCGAGCCAACUCUAAAAAAUGAGGCUCGGUGCCUCCAAGCCUUGAAUUGAGCCGGCUCGAACUUUUUCCAAGUCGAACCACGAGCAGCCAAAAUCGACGAGCCCGCUUGUGAUCUCUAUACAAUAAUAUGCAUUAUUGUAGUCGAUUAGCAGCGACAAACACAGAUAAUCCCUUAAAUGGCUCGGCCCUUAAUUGCACGAGCUCAGGCUAGGCUCAUGGGCACGUCAAUUAUUAUUAUUAUUAUUAUUUUUAAAAAAAUUUACAAAUAAACGAAAUAAUAGAAAACACUUUUAAAAAAAAAAUAAAGUGUUAAGAAAUACAAAUAAUUUAAUGAAAAUAAUUUUUUAUUUUUUUUAUUUAUAUCAUAUUAUCAUACUUUUUAUAAAGUAUAAAAUAUUUAUAUAAUGAAGACGAAUUAUUUUUUAAAAUACAUUCACAAAAAAUAUAUUUUUUUGAUUUCUUUUUAAAGUAGAUAAAAUGUAAAUCCUCCUCCUUUAUCCGGGCUUGGGGCCGGCUACAUCAAUUUUAAAUAUGCGGAGUUAAAAAUUGUACACGAACUUGUUGUAAUGUGUACAAAUUUUUAAAGAAAACUAAAUUUAACGUUUAAAAAAUAAAGAAAUUUUGAUUAAUAUAAUUAAAUCAAAUAUCACUUACCUGACGACAUGCAAUUUCAGCAUAUUUAUCUUGUAGUCGAAAAUGAGCGUCUUGUCAAUCCGUCACACACAUUAACGCUUCCAAAACAUCUUUUCAGUCUGCUCCUGACAUCGGUUAAAAUUCUUUUACAUGCACUAAAAGCAGACUCCGAAACAACAGUGCUAACCGGAUGUGUCAACAAAUCUUUCGCAAUUGCAGAAACAAUUGGGCAACAUUUUUCAUACUUUCGUCAGAAUUCAAUUAUUUCUGCUGAACUAUUUUUUAAUUGUUCUGUCUGUUGGCAUAUUAUGAUUGAAGUAAUCAAUUAAUUCGGCAGGCAUCGCAUUUUGAGUUUUGGUCGAUGUUUGAUGAGAUGCAAAUGUAGACGACAUGACACUAGAUGAACACAUUGUAGUUGCAUCAUAUCUAAAUGUAUUAAUGCCUUGAAAUAAAUUCAUUAUUUCGACAUCAUCUUUUUCAAUUUCAGCAGAAGGAGUAGGUGCAGAGGGUAACUCGACUAACAUUCGCACCCAUUCUUUCCGCAUAUAAAUCAUACAUUCCACAUAAUGUUUGCUCUAAAUUCUUAUAGGUGAUAAGUGUAUCAAGUAUUAAAGCUUUAUUAAUUUGAUCAAUUACGUAUUUAGUUUCCGAAAUAUUAUAUUAAGGGUCCAUUGCGCAUGCUAAAGGAAAUAAUAUAGGCAGUUCUUCCCAAUAUUUUCUAAACUUCAAUUUCAUAGCAAUUAAAAUUUCACUAAAAGUAUGAUUAUUUUUAUAUUUAUGGAAUGUUCUUGCAAUUAUAUAAAGGCGUUCAAGAAUCAUACAACUUGUAGGAUAAUAAACGCUCGAUAAAAUCUUUAUGGUCUCAUAAAAAGAUGUCAAAAACCGUUUAACUUUCAAAACUAAAAUCCAAUCGGAUUCAUUUAACAUACCAUCGUCAUCACUUCUAACGUGUCUAUUGUUAUAAAAAUCAGUUAUUAAAUUUUUAUAAACAUUCACAUGACUUUAAUAGCAAGUGAGUAGAGUUCUAUCUAUGAUCUACGUCGCUAACAAAUGUUUUAGUAGUCGUCACCCCUAGUUCGGCACAAAAAUCUUCAAAUACUUGUGUUUCUACUAAGAGAUAUCGUAAUAUAUACUAAUACAUUCCUAAUCUUUUGAAAUUCAUCCUUUAUAUGUUUUAAACCAUCUUGCGCAAUUAAAUUUAAGAUAUGACACACACAACGAAUAUGAAACAAAUACCCACCAAAAUCAGGUUGAAGUGUCCUACACAAUUUAUCGACGACUACCUUAUUAAAACUAGCAUUAUCAAAAGUAAAAUGCCGAUUUUUAGUCUCGCAAUGAUAUUUUCUAACAAUACUGAUAAUAACAUUAUAUAUGUUAUUAGCAUUGUGAGGAAACUCAAUAAUUCUAAAAGCAAUAAUUUUCUUAUGUAUGCACCAAAGUGGGUCUAUAUAGCGUGCAGUUGAAGCUAUAUAUGCUCUUUUAUUAACCCUUUCCAUAUAUCAGAAGUUAAAGAUAUAACACCCCCAUAUUGUUGUAAAUCCAUAAUUAAUUGUUGUUUUGAAUUAUUGAAAUAAUUUAUUGUAUCAGCACACGAAGAGUGCUUUGACUUACCCCAACGUACCUCGGUUGUAGAUAUUCUUUCACGAACGAGACGAAGUGUUGGCUGUCUGCAAUAGCCAGAGGCAACUCAGUGACGGCAAUAAAUUUCACCAUUUUGGUUCUAGUAUUGUCCUCCGAGUACACCCACGUGGAUAGGGGUGAAGUUGUAGAACCGGCACCUGAACUGCCAAAUUGUAAUUGUGUUUGACCAGCUAGAAGAAGUCAAUGUUUGGCCGCACAUGCUUUGUAUUGGCGGUUGAGAUGGGUGGUACCAAUUCCUUUUUGUUAUGCCAAUCUUUUUUGGUAGUAUUUACAUACUGCUUUACAUUCUGCAAGGCCAUUGACGACUUUUUCCAUUGAAAUUAACUUAAAGUGAUCCCAACAAUUUGCUUUUUUUUGGCCUUUCGCUUUCCCUUCGCAUUUGGGAUGUUUAAUUCAUCAUCUUCAUUCUCAUGCUCCGCUUCAGGAACGUUAAUAUCAUACAAAUCAAUUGAAUUGUGGCUUCCCUGAAUGUGAACAUCUUCAGGUAUCGAUAGGUCAUUUAGACCGAGAAAUUCAUUUGAAAAUUGACUUUGCGGCAUCCUAGGCAAUUCGCCAGGAUGUGGUAUCAAACUAACUUUCAACAAAUGAGCGUUGAUCUAUUUGUUUGAUUGUUUCUGAUGAAAUUUUAACUAGAAGAAUAUAAAUGUAGUGAGAUUGUGAGAACUGAGAAUUAGAUGAAUUGAAAUUGUAACUAAUAAAAUGUAAAAAGUGAAUUGAUAUUGUAUAUUUUUCAUUACAAGAGAGUAAAAACUCGAUAAUUGAUAUAAUAAAAGAGAGUUGAGAGAGUUGGAGAUUCGGAGUAGCAAUUGAUAUGAAAAAAAAAUCUUUAAGGGAAGAGGUAUUUAUAGUAGAAGGGGGGGAAUUAAAAAAUAAAAAAAUUCAGUGACCGAAACGGUCACUGAAUUUAUUCAGUGUUGGUCACUUUUUUGGUCACUUAGAUUUUUUGGCUAGACGAGCUAGAGCCGCUCGGCUUGUGGCUCGUUGUUUGUAACGAGCCGGCUCGCCUCCCGGCGAGGCCAGUUCAACUCGUGCAAGUACAUAAUGACUAUCAGGUGAUCGUGAGAUAGGUAUUAUCUAAUUUAGAAGCGAAGGAAGACGGAAUGGCCGCCCAGAGACGGAGUCAGACCUUUGGUUUUGCAGGGUAAAAAAUUGAAAACAAUGUCUAAACUUGAUAUUGAGAAUAAUUUCUUUUGAAUAAGCAAUGUAUAUCUCGGCAAAUCGCAAUCACCUAUCUACUAAAAUAUACAAAUGGAGGUUAAAAGGUAUUGUCCAAUUUCAUAACACAUCAAAUUUCUAUUGUGGACAGUGAACAAGCUUAAGGGAAAAAUGAGGUCACGACCAUAAAACUUUGAAACACAUUUUUAAUAUCAAGAUAAUUGAGGUACAAACUAGAGUCUAGAGAGUAGAGAUUAAGGGAUAACUGGACAAGAGUAAAUAUAUAAUAUAUUUUUCCAAGUUUCAACGAGCAGAAAUGUACUUGCAUAUCUCAAAUUUAAAAAUGAAAAACAACUAAUUAAAGGAAAAUGUCCAAAUUGAUAGGAAAAACUAAAGUUACAUCCAAAUCCAAUUAAUACAGGUUUGCUAACGUAGAUAGAACUUGUAAGAAAAACAAAUGUCAAACAAAUAGAUGGUAGAUUUGUUACUUAAAUGGAAGAAAAAUCACAAAAUUAGUACAAGAAAAGAAAAUCCCAAAAUAUGAAUUGCGAUUUGGCGAUCUCUUUGUGUCGGUCGAUUCUUCAUUUUCUUCUCUCUGUGGGGCUUUAGGGCAAUGGAUGGUUGUUCAAGACUCCAAAUGCAUAUGGAAUGAUGAAAAAGCAAAAUUUGGCAAUGGGCUUGUGCAAUUGGACUUGUCAAUAGGCAAAGUUGUGGUUAAUUUACAUCCCUUUUUAUCUUAGAAGAGAGAAUGUGAGAUUUACUGUUCAUUUUUUUACAUAGGUUUUCACACGAAAUUGGUUUGAAACCGAUUUGACAACAAUAAAUCAUUCUAUUCAAUGACGCUGUAGCAUUAUUUUCCCACGACAUUUCACCAUUUUCACACGUCAUUUCACUGUGAUGUCACCACCACUUCAUUAUUUCUCUAUUUUCACACACCACUUCACUUGAUUAAAGGAAAUACCAUAGCUUAUAUAAUAAAUAAACGAAAUUAAAUAUAAAGACUAUUUUAAAAAAAAUUGCAGAUAAAAAUAGAAAAAAAAAUUAUUAAAAAGUUUUUGAAGUAAAUUAAAAUGAUUUUUAAAAAAUAAAUAUUAUUUAAUUCAAAUUUAAUGAAUGUCUUUAUAUCAUAAGGAAUGUAUAAAGAUUAUUUUAUUAAACCAAAUUAAACAAAUAAAAUAAAAGAAAGUUACAAAAAUUGAAAAAAUAAUAUAUAAAUAUUAUUUAAUUAAUUAAAAUUGAAAAAUCUAAAUUUAAAAAAAUAACAAAAAACCUCUCUAUGGAUCUCUCCGUCCACAGAGAAAAUCUUUGCUUUCAAAAGAUGAGUUUUCCCCCUUUGACUUUUCAAAAUGAGAGAAUUUUCCUUUUGCAUAGAGUGAUAACACUCCGUGCACGGAGUGAUAAUAAUUUUUUUCUUAAAUUUUAUUUAUAGUAAUUUUUUUAUUAAUAAAUAUUUAAUUUUAAAAGAAUCCCUCCAUAUUUUAAAAGAGAGUGUGAGGUUUACUGUUCAUUUUAUUAGUGAUAAUUUUUUUUACGUAAAAGUUAUUCUUUAUUUCUAAAAUACAAAAAGUUACUUAUAAUUAAAAAGAGAACUUCAAGUUAUUUGAAAGUAAAACGAACUUAUAAUUGCAAAAGUUACUUAUAAGUAAAAAAUAUUAACUUCAAAUUUUUUAAGUAUAAAUAUUUAGAUAUAUUUAGUUUUUUUAAAUUAAAUAUUAACAAAAAGAUGCACUAUCUAGAAUGGAAAAAGUUACAUAUAAGUAAAAAAAAUCACUUCAAGUUAUUUAAAAGUAAUAACAAAAACUUAUAAUUGUAAAAGCUACUUAUAGAUAAAAAAUAUUAACUUUAACAUUUUUAAUUAAAUAUUUAGAUAUGUUUAAUUUUUUAAAUUAAAUAUUAAUAAAAAAAUUGCUAUAAUUAAAAAAAAGUCAACUAUCCAUGCAUAUGUUUUUUUUUUUUUAAUUAUAGUAAUUUUUUAUUAACAUUUAAUUUUAAAAAAUUAAAUAUAUCUACUUACUAAAAAAUGUUGAAGUUAAUUUAUUUUUUUUUAUUAAUAAGUAGCUUUUACAAUUAUAAGUUUUUUUUUAUUACUUUUAAAUAAUUUGAAGUAAUUUUUUUACUUAUAAUUAUUUUUUUACAUUCUAAAUAAUGUAAUUUUUUUUAUUAAUAUUUAAUUUAAAAAACUAAAUAUAUCUAAAUAUGUAUACUCAAAAAAUUUUAAAUUAAUAUUUUUUUACUUAUAAGAAGCUUUUGCAAUUAUAAGAGAAGGAGGUAUUAAUAUAUUUUUUUUACCUAUAAGUAACUUUUACAAUUAUAAGUUUUUUUAUUACUUUUAAAUAACUUGAAGUGCUUUUUUAACUUAUAAGUAAUUUUUACAUUUUAUAUAGUGUAAUAUUUUUAUUAAUAUUUAAUUUAAAAACUAUAUAUAUCUAAAUAUUUAUACUUAAAAAAAUUUAAGUUAAUAUUUUUUUACUUAUAAGUAGCUUUUAUAAUUAUAAGUUUGUUUUACUUUUAAAUAACUUGAAGUGAUCUUUUUAUUUAUAAGUAAUUUUUUACAUUUUAGAAAUAAAGAAUAACUUUUACGUAAAAUUUAUUUAAAAAAAUAUUAUUACUAAUAAAAUUAUAGGAUAUAGUUGAAAGUGUGAGAAAAUGAAAAAAGAAUACUGUGUGUCAGAUUCAAAGCAUGUAAGUUGCAGGUAAAAUAGAAAACGACGUCGCUUCUACUCCACCAAUUAAAAAAAAAAAGUUACAGUGUGGCAAAAUAUUAUUUAAAAAAAUAUUACUACUAAUAAAAUUAUAGAAUAUGAUUGAUAGUUGAUAGCGUGAGAAAAUAGAGAAAGAGUAUUGUGUAUUAGAUUCAAAGCUGGACGAUUCAUUUUUGUCACAUACGUUUUCACAUUCAGCUGGUUUGAAAUGGGUUUGGUCAAAUUGGUUUGAUUUUUUUUAUUAUAUUAUUUCUCCUUAUCUUACUGUUUAUUUUUGUCGUAUUGAUUUUCACAUUGAACAUGUUUGAAACUGGUUUGGUCUUUUAAAUCCGACACACAGUACUCUUUCUCCAUUUUCUUACACUAUCAACUAUCAACCAUAUCCUAUAAUUUUAUUAGUAGUAAUAUUCUUUUAAAUAAUAUUUGAAUCUUUACUUUCAAAAUGAGAGUUUUCUCCUUUUGACUUUUCAAAAGGAGAGAAUUCUCCUUUUUAACACUCCGUGCAUGGAGUGAUUCCACUCCGUCCACGGAAUGGUGAUAUAUUUUUUUUAAAUUUUAUUUAUAGUAAUUUAAUAUUAAUAAAUAUUUAAUAAAAAAAAUCCCUCCAUAUCUUAGAAGAGAGAAUGUGAGGGUUACUGCUCAUUUUAUUUUUUUAAAUAUUUUUUUACAUAAAAGUUAUUCUUUAUUUCUAAAAUGUAAAAAAUUACUUAUAACUCAAAAGAUUACUUCAAGUUAUUUAAAAGUAAAAUGAAUCUAUAAUUACAAAAGUUACUUAUAAGUAAAAAAUAUUAAUUUCAAAUUUUUUAAGUAUAAGUAUUUAGAUAUAUUUAAUUUUUAAAAUUAAAUAUUAAUAAAAAGAUUGCAAUAUCUAGAAUAUAAAAAUUUACUUAUAAAAAAAAUCACUUCAAGUUAUUUAAAACUAAUAACAAAAACUUAUAAUUGUAAAAGCUACUUAUGGAUAAAAAAGAAUUAACUUUAAUAUUUUUAAUAAAUAUUUUGAUAUAUUUAUUUUUUAAAAUUAAAUACUAAUAAAAAAUUACUAUUAAAAAAAACUCACUUCGUGCACGUAGUGAUGGCCACUCCAUGCACAGAGUGGUCAUCAGGUGCAUGGAGUGAUUUUUUACUUAUAAGUAAAUUUAAUUUAAAUAUAUCUAAAUAUUUAUUUAAAAAUGUUGAAGUUGAUAUUUUUUUUAUCAGGACCUGUUUGGGCCACAUUAUUCCAAAAAAAAUGCAUUAUUAAACAGUAAUUUGACAUCAUUUCAACCAUAUUCUUCAAUAAAAUAAUAUUACACGCAAAUCAAAAACUUUUCCUUAUUUUUUAAUCAUACAUUUUCCAUCAAUACAUUAUUCAAGAAUGCAUUAUUAACAAAAUAAUGUGGCUCAAACACCCCCUCAAUAAGUAGCUUUUACAAAUAUAAGUUUUUGUAUUACUUUUAAAUAACUUGAAGUGAUUUUUUAAUUAUAAGUAACUUUUUACAUUAUAGAUAAUGUAAUUUUUUUUAUUAAUAUUUAAUUUACAAAAAUAAAUAUAUCUAAAUAUUUAUACUUAAAAAAUUUUAAGUUAAUAUUUUUACUUAUAAGUAACUUUUGUAAUUAUAAGAGAAGGAUGGAUUAAUAUUUUUUUACCUAUAAGUAGCUUUAAUUUACAAUUAUAAGUUUUUUAUUAUUUUAAAUAACUUGAAGUGUUUUUUUACUUAUAAGCAAAUUUUUAUUUUUUAGAUAGUGUAAUCUUUUUAUUAAUAUUUAAUUUUAAAAUAAAAAUAAAAAACUCUUAAAAGAUGGGAUUGUGAUCACUAUUAAUUCUUGUCACUUGAAUUUUCACACUUGCUUGGUUUGUACUAUUUAUUAAUUGGUUCAUAAAAUGUCUCUUAAAAGUGGGUUUCGCUCUCUCUCACUUUCAUUCUUCAUGGCAAAGAAAACACUAUUACAAUGAUUUUCAAAAUCUGAGAUAUUGAAACUCAGAGAGUUGAAUGAGAGAUCUUGAGAAGGAAACUACAGUAUGAAAUGUAUGAAGUGAAAAGAUAAUCUGCAAUAGUUAAUUAAUUGAAAGCAUUGGAUAUGCUAUUUGAGCGAAAAAGAUUUGGUGAUUAUUGAUUGUUUUUUAGUUUUCUAUGUUAUUUGCAUUCAGUGUGUUUCAUUAUCGUUUAAAAAUGCGUGAUAUUUUUAGACUUUAUAUAUGCUGAACUGAGAACUUUAGAAAUUACGCUGACUGAUGCUCUGACUUUCUUUUAUUUUGUAGCUAGGGCCUCAAGAAUGUCCAUAUCAGUAUCUUAUGAAACAUGAACUGAAGAAUGCAACAUUUUAUCUUUAUCUUACUCUUUC
rnacentral:lncRNA from 1 species